rnacentral:rRNA from 1 species
UGGGGAAUAUUGCACAAUGGGCGAAAGCCUGAUGCAGCGACGCCGCGUGAGGGAUGACGGCCUUCGGGUUGUAAACCUCUUUCAGCAGGGACGAAGCGCAAGUGACGGUACCUGCAGAAGAAGCACCGGCUAACUACGUGCCAGCAGCCGCGGUAAUACGUAGGGUGCAAGCGUUGUCCGGAAUUACUGGGCGUAAAGAGUUCGUAGGCGGUUUGUCGCGUCGUUUGUGAAAACCAGCAGCUCAACUGCUGGCUUGCAGGCGAUACGGGCAGACUUGAGUACUGCAGGGGAGACUGGAAUUCCCGGUGUAGCGGUGAAAUGCGCAGAUAUCAGGAGGAACACCGGUGGCGAAGGCGGGUCUCUGGGCAGUAACUGACGCUGAGGAACGAAAGCGUGGGUAGCGAACAGG